AGAGUUUGAUCCUGGCUCAGGACGAACGCUGCGGCGUGCUUAACACAUGCAAGUUGAACGGUAUGGCAUGGAAGCUUGCUGAAGUGUCAUAUAGUAGCGGACGGGUGAGUAAUGCAUGAGAAGCUGCCAUUGGGAGGGGGACAACAGUUGGAAACGGCUGCUAAUACCCCGUAUGCCGGAAGGUGAAAGGGAGCGAUCCGCCCGAUGAGGUGCUCAUGUCCUAUCAGCUGGUUGGUGGGGUAACGGCCUACCAAGGCGACGACGGGUAGCCGGCCUGAGAGGGUGAACGGCCACACUGGAACUGAGAUACGGUCCAGACUCCUACGGGAGGCAGCAGUGGGGAAUAUUGGGCAAUGGGGGCAACCCUGACCCAGCGACGCCGCGUGAGGGAAGACGGCCUUCGGGUUGUAAACCUCUUUUGUACGGGAAGAAGGAAGUGACGGUAC
rnacentral:rRNA from 1 species